UACAGAGGUCCCGAGCGUUGUUCGGAUUCACUGGGCGUAAAGGGUGCGUAGGUGGUUGGGUAAGUUUGAUGUGAAAGCUCAGGGCUUAACCCUGAAAUGGCAUUGAAUACUACUUAACUGGAGGUUUGGAGGGGGGACUGGAAUUCUUGGUGUAGCAGUGAAAUGCGCAGAUAUCAGGAGGAACACCAAUGGCGAAGGCAGCUCUCUGGUACAUGAUUGACGCUGAGACGCGAAAGCGUGGGGAGCGAACAGG
rnacentral:rRNA from 1 species